rnacentral:rRNA from 1 species
AGAGAAUAGAUACCCGGGUAGUCCACGCUGUAAACGAUGCGCACUAGGUGUCGGGGGUAUCGACCCCUCGGUGCCGCAGCUAAACGCGAUAAGUGCGCCGCCUGGGGACGUACGGCCGCAAGGCUAAAACUACAAAGGAAUUGACGGGGGCCCGGCACAAGCAGCGGAGCGUGUGGUUUAAUUCGACGCAACGCGAAGAACCUUACCUGGGCUUGACAUGCGUGUGGUACGGAGCCGAAAGGCCGAGGACCCGCAAGGGAGCACGCACAGAUGCUGCAUGGCUGUCGUCAGCUCGUGCCGUGAGGUGUUGGGUUAAGUCCCGCAACGAGCGCAACCCUCGCUGCCAGUUACCAUGUCUGGCGGGACCGCCGGGUCCAACCCGGAGGAAGGUGGGGAUGACGUCAAGUCAGCACGGCUCUUACGUCCAGGGCUACACACACGCUACAAUGGCCGGUACAACGCGCAGCGAUGGGGCGACCCGGAGCGAAUCGCAGCAAAGCCGGUCUCAGUU